rnacentral:ncRNA from 1 species
UUUCUCUCAGGGUAACUGACACACGAGAUUCUGUGCUGUGUCAUCCGGUCAAGAGAAUGAUUAGAGGGCGCGCAGCCGAAACGACUUCAACCUAUUCUCUAACUUUAAAUGGGUGAGAAGUCUGGUUUCAUGACUGAAGCCCGGACAACUGGAUGAGAGUGCGCA